UUCGAGUCGUUGAUUUCACACUGCCGAGAAAAGCCUCUAGAUAGAAAAUAGGUGCCCGUACCGCAAACCGACACAGGUAGUCAAGAUGAGAAUUCUAAGGUGAGCGAGCGAACUCUCGUUAAGGAACUCGGCAAAAUGACCCCGUAACUUCGGGAGAAGGGGUGCUCUUUAGGGUUAACGCCCAGAAGAGCCGCAGUGAAUAGGCCCAAGCGACUGUUUAUCAAAAACACAGGUCUCUGCUAAACCGUAAGGUGAUGUAUAGGGGCUGACGCCUGCCCGGUGCUGGAAGGUUAAGAGGAGUGGUUAGCUUCUGCGAAGCUACGAAUCGAAGCCCCAGUAAACGGCGGCCGUAACUAUAACGGUCCUAAGGUAGCGAAAUUCCUUGUCGGGUAAGUUCCGACCCGCACGAAAGGCGUAACGAUUUGGGCACUGUCUCAACGAGAGACUCGGUGAAAUCAUAGUACCUGUGAAGAUGCAGGUUACCCGCGACAGGACGGAAAGACCCCGUGGAGCUUUACUGUAGCCUGAUAUUGAAAUUCGGCACAGCUUGUACAGGAUAGGUAGGAGCCUUUGAAACGUGAGCGCUAGCUUACGUGGAGGCGCUGGUGGGAUACUACCCUAGCUGUGUUGGCUUUCUAACCCGCACCACUUAUCGUGGUGGGAGACAGUGUCAGGCGGGCAGUUUGACUGGGGCGGUCGCCUCCUAAAAGGUAACGGAGGCGCUCAAAGGUUCCCUCAGAAUGGUUGGAAAUCAUUCAUAGAGUGUAAAGGCAUAAGGGAGCUUGACUGCGAGACCUACAAGUCGAGCAGGGUCGAAAGACGGACUUAGUGAUCCGGUGGUUCCGCAUGGAAGGGCCAUCGCUCAACGGAUAAAAGCUACCCCGGGGAUAACAGGCUUAUCUCCCCCAAGAGUUCACAUCGACGGGGAGGUUUGGCACCUCGAUGUCGGCUCAUCGCAUCCUGGGGCUGUAGUCGGUCCCAAGGGUUGGGCUGUUCGCCCAUUAAAGCGGUACGCGAGCUGGGUU
rnacentral:rRNA from 1 species